rnacentral:rRNA from 1 species
ACUCAAAUGAAUAGACGGGGGCCCGCACAAGCGGUGGAGUAUGUGGCUUAAUUCGAUGCAACGCGAAGAACCUUACCUGGGCUCGACAUGCAUUUCUAAAAUGAUGAAAGUCAUUGAGAGCAGCAAUGCUCAACUUGCACAGGUGCUGCAUGGCUGUCGUCAGCUCGUGUCGUGAGAUGUUGGGUUAAGUCCCGCAACGAGCGCAACCCUCAUGUGCUGUUAACGCUUAGCGUUGCUCUGCACAGACUGCCCCGUGAAACGGGGAGGAAGGCGAGGAUGACGUCAAGUCAGCAUGGCCCUUACGCCCAGGGCUGCACACGUACUACAAUACUCAGCACAGAACGAGCCGAUAUCGCGAGAUCUCGGAAAUCAGCAAAACUGAGUUCAGUUCGGAUUGCAGGCUGCAACUCGCCUGCAUGAAGCUGGAAUCGCUAGUAAUGGCGCAUCAGCUACGGCGCCGUGAAUACGUUCCCGGGCCUUGUACACACCGCCCGU